rnacentral:miRNA from 10 species
GGCAGGAGGGCUGGGCCAGGUUGGCUGGGCCUGACCUGCCAGCACCUCCCUGCAG